UCCAAAGUGGUAUAGUGAUCUGAGUGUUAGACUACGACUCUGAAGACCAGUGUUCAAAUCCCUGUUCAGCAA